rfam:Bacteroidetes bacterium 4484_276 ex4484_276_scaffold_926, whole genome shotgun sequence.
UAGGGUGUCGGGUAACCGGCAAACGAUAGACGUAAAGGAAUCAGCCGAUGGCAUAGUAGGUAAUGAAACGAGCCAACAUAGAAAGUUGGAGGCCUCACCAAAUACCGAAGGCC